CACGUAGGGCGCAAGCGUUGUCCGGAAUUAUUGGGCGUAAAGAGCUCGUAGGCGGUCUGUUGCGUCCGCUGUGAAAACUCGGGGCUUAACCCCGAGCCUGCAGUGGAUACGGGCAGACUAGAGGUAGGUAGGGGAGAAUGGAAUUCCCGGUGUAGCGGUGAAAUGCGCAGAUAUCGGGAGGAACACCGGUGGCGAAGGCGGCUACACGUCG
rnacentral:rRNA from 1 species